rnacentral:rRNA from 1 species
GACGAACGCUGGCGGCGUGCUUAACACGUGCAAGUCGAACGGAAAGGCCCUGCUUUUGUGGGGUGCUCGAGUGGCGAACGGGUGAGUAACACGUGAGUAACCUGCCCUUGACUUUGGGAUAACUUCAGGAAACUGGGGCUAAUACCGGAUAGGAGCUCCUGCUGCAUGGUGGGGGUUGGAAAGUUUCGGCGGUUGGGGAUGGACUCGCGGCUUACCAGCUUGUUGGUGGGGUAGUGGCUUACCAAGGCUUUGACGGGUAGCCGGCCUGAGAGGGUGACCGGCCACAUUGGGACUGAGAUACGGCCCAGACUCCUACGGGAGGCAGCAGUGGGGAAUAUUGCACAAUGGGCGGAAGCCUGAUGCAGCAACGCCGCGUGCGGGAUGACGGCCUUCGGGUUGUAAACCGCUUUCGCCUGUGACGAAGCGUGAGUGACGGUAAUGGGUAAAGAAGCACCGGCUAACUACGUG